UGGGGAAUAUUGGGCAAUGGGCGCAAGCCUGACCCAGCAACGCCGCGUGAAGGAAGAAGGCUUUCGGGUUGUAAACUUCUUUUAAGAGGGACGAAUAAAGUGACGGUACCUCUUGAAUAAGCCACGGCUAACUACGUGCCAGCAGCCGCGGUAAUACGUAGGUGGCAAGCGUUAUCCGGAUUUAUUGGGUGUAAAGGGCGUGUAGGCGGGAGUGCAAGUCAGAUGUGAAAACUCAGGGCUCAACCCUGAGCCUGCAUUUGAAACUGUAUUUCUUGAGUGCUGGAGAGGCAAUCGGAAUUCCGUGUGUAGCGGUGAAAUGCGUAGAUAUACGGAGGAACACCAGUGGCGAAGGCGGAUUGCUGGACAGUAACUGACGCUGAGGCGCGAAAGCGUGGGGAGCAAACAGGAUUAGAUACC
rnacentral:rRNA from 1 species